UAUAUAUGGAUAUACCAAGGAUGUAUAUAUAUUCAUAUAUAUAGGUCUAUGGUUUCGGUCCCCUGCAGUUUGUACCGUCCAAAAACAAUGUUACGUUAUAGUAAACAGAGACUCGUCAAGCACUAGGACCAAGCGGAAAACGGCCGCUCAGCUGAAGCCUGUUUCCCUGAGUUUAGACCCGCCCACAAGCUCCUCGAUUGGCUCUGCUGUUUGUUGUGUGAUUGGCCGUCCCCGCUGUCACUCCAUCUUGCUUGCACACCGGUCUGCUGGAGUUGCCCAGUGAUUGGAUGUCGAUGAUGCUGCGCACACUGAUUGGAUGUGGGAACCGACCGGUGGGUAGGUCCAAUUCCUGGGUCCAUUCAUAGCCAUCUACUGCUUAGUCUUGAAUCUUGAUCUGUUGCACUGCUCAACAAUAAUUUUUCAAAUACGCCACCUGUACAAUCCAAGUACAAGUCCUACUUAUUGGUUAAUAACAAGAAAAUACCAAGGACAACAGAAUACAGACACAUGAAGGGAAAAGGCAGAAGACGGUACAAGCAGUACCUUUACAGCACUGGCGUUGAAGUCCCUGACAGAAUUUUAGAACGUCAUGACAGAGAACCUCCAGCUCACCAUGAUGCACCACUGCAGUCAACAGCAGGAAAACAGAAGAGUGCUGACAGUAAG